rnacentral:rRNA from 1 species
AGCGAACGCUGGCGGCAGGCCAACACAUGCAAGUCGAACGAAGCCUUCGGGCUUAGUGGCGGACGGGUGAGGAACACGUGGGAACGUACCUUUUGGUUCGGAACAACUCAGGGAAACUUGAGCUAAUACCGGAUGAGCCCUUAGGGGGAAAGAUUUAUCGCCGAAAGAGCGGCCCGCGUUAGAUUAGCUAGUUGGUGAGGUAAAGGCUCACCAAGGCAACGAUCUAUAGCUGGUCUGAGAGGAUGAUCAGCCACACUGGGACUGAGACACGGCCCAGACUCCUACGGGAGGCAGCAGUGGGGAAUCUUGCGCAAUGGGCGAAAGCCUGACGCAGCCAUGCCGCGUGAAUGAUGAAGGUCUUAGGAUUGUAAAAUUCUUUUACCAGGGACGAUAAUGACGGUACCUGGAGAAAAAGCCCCGGCUAACUUCGUGCCAGCCGCCGCGGUAACAC